rnacentral:rRNA from 1 species
UACGUAGGAUGCAAGCGUUGUCCGGAAUUAUUGGGCGUAAAGAGCGUGUAGGCGGCCCGGUAAGUCCGCUGUGAAAGUCGGGGGCUCAACCCUCGAAUGCCGGUGGAUACUGUCGGGCUAGAGUGCGGAAGAGGCGAGUGGAAUUCCUGGUGUAGCGGUGAAAUGCGUAGAUAUCGGGAGGAACACCUGUGGCGAAGGCGGCCCCCUGGUUGGGAUACUGACGCUGAUACGCGAAAGCGUGGGGAGCAAACAGG